rnacentral:lncRNA from 1 species
GUGGAGAGGAUAAGGAGGGCCUCGCUUGGCUUCCUGCUGCUCCCCUGAUUAGAAGCCCUUCUAAGGGGAUCAAGGCUGUGACUGGCUAUGAGAAGAGAAAACUAAUGCUCCAUUUCCCACUCAGUCCCUGGGCUGCUGAACUCUUCCCCACCACUUGAGGAGGAGCUACGCUGGGAAGAGAUGAGCUGAUGCCCAGCUCAGCUGCUCUUCUGAGUCUUCAAUUUCCAGACCAACCUCCCUUAAGGUGACUGACAGUGGGGACCUCAACCUCACCUACAGGGAUGUGGACUGAUCCCAUGGUCUCAGUGAGAGACCCAGGCAAUAUUUCUACAUGAAGCAUGUUGGAUUUCUGAAUUAUCCAGCCUCAAAUGACACCGGGAUGGGACAGUGUUAACCCAGAUAAGAAAACUGAGGCUCUGAGAAGUUGAGGGACUUGGUCAAGGCCACAUGUCAGUGAGUGCCAGAAGUUUCUGCUACUCCUACAAAAUCAGAAGUUCCCCAAAUCCAAACCAUCUCGACCUACCCCUGUGACCCGCCAAAAGAAGCUGGCCUUCCCCAUCCUCCUGUCUCCGCAGUGCCAUUUGCCUUUCAGUCUCCUAAAAAGAAGCACUUACUCUCUUCCCCAAAUCGCAGAGGGAAGCUUCAAAUACACUUCUAAUCAUCCUCAGUACCCAGCAGUAUAUAGGAAGUUAUUGUCCCAAAGUUGUGUGUCAUGCCCGAAGUGUCUGGGAUCCCCGAGUGCCUGUGGUGCCCAAGAGCUAUGAAUCUGCUAUCAUCAACACAGAGGGUACCUUCUGAAUGGGCUAUGUCUACAGUGAUGCUGCAAAUGGAAGCUAACCCUAGGAUGACUGGCCUCUGACACUUGAGCCAUCCCAUCAUCUGUCAUGGGUUGACCCAUCCAUCCCCUCAAUGAGCCUGACCUUCAGGACCACUGACAGAGGAGCAGUCAAUAGAAAUUAAUUGUUAAAUACCCAGAAAAUCUGAAAUGGUAUUUAAUAUGCAGUUCAUCAAGAGCAAAAGUUCCUUAAAUCUUCAUCUAGAAAAGUUAUUUAUAAGGGAUGAAUAUGUUGUAUGAAUAUGUUGUAUGCAAAUAUUAUAUUCAAGGGCAAGACCAUGAAAACAGUUUAAGAAUCCGACAGGGAAUUAGAUAAAGACAUCGGAGUGCACUUGUCAAAAUACAGCUAUCAAGAAUGAUGAUGUUGAAAAAUAGUUUAGCAAUAUAAUUGUCUAGAACCACAGGGAGUCUGAGAUUUUACCCAACUUGUGAGUUAACAACUCUGCUAUAGCUUCAUGAAAGAAGACACAAGACUCCUGGGUCAGGAACAAAGGUCUCUAAUACUCACAGCAAUAUCAGGAGCCAGAAUUUCAGGAUCCUUUUUCCUGCCAGUUUCUCAAGUCCUAAUUACCACCGAGUUACAGGAAAGGGCCAGGUAACACUAGCACUGCCAUCAGUGGCUGUAUUACAGAACAGGAACUCCAAGCUUAGGAAACCCAAAUCUUUUAUAGUUAACAAUGAACACAUCUGCCAUUGUUCUGAAGGGAGACGCUACCCCAAUCUUCCACACCUGUUCACUAUAUAAAUAUCUGUGAAAAGAUAGACAGAAAAAUAGGUGGAGAAUGCCUCUGCUCACAAGAUGUGCAGAAACGUGAGAGGCUCAUGGAGAACUGUUUCCCUACAAUGACAAAAUGCUGACGAUAUAUUGUUAUGUAAAAUAAAGCAGGCAUUUUUCACCUCAUUUUCAUGAAAUAUAGUGUGUUUAUAUAGAUAUUUAGAAAAGUAUGAAAGGACAUUCAUCCAGAUAUCAAUAGAAGAGUUUAUUAUUUUUGCUAGUUGUAAGUUCAAACUUUUCUAGUAAAAAUAGAUUACUUGUGAAAUUAUUUUUAAUCUUUUUUUUUUUUUGAGAUGGAGUCUUGCUCUGUCGCCCAGGCUCGAGUGCAGUGGCAUGAUCUCAGCUCACUGCAACAUCCACCUCCUGGGUUCAAGCAAUUCUCCUGCCUCAGCCUCCUGAGUAGCUGGGAUUAUAGGUGCAUGCCACCAUGCCCAGCUAAUUUUUGUAUUUUUAGUAGAGACGGGAUUUCACCAUGUUGGUCAGGCUGGUCUCGAACUCCUGACCUCGUGAUCUGCCCACCUCGGCCUCCCAAAGUGCUAGAAUUACAGGUGUGAGCCACUGCACCCCUCCUAAAUGUCAAUUUAAUAACUGAGGGAGCCCUUAAAAUACCCCGCUGACUUCCACACGGGUGUGUAAAAUAGAAUCUGCUCACGUCUUAGAGGAGAUAAGUACAUGCUUAAUGUUCUUAGGAGAGACCUGCCUUUUGACAUGGAAGCUGUGGUAUUGUUGACAAGAGCAUACCUCCUUAAACCAUGCAAACCACGUUCACAUCAAAGCUGCCUACGAAUGAUUAUUUUCCAUGAUGCUAUGCUCCCUCCUGCCUGCCUCAGUGGCAAGUGUGACUCAGCAAGUGUAUCCAGGGCAUCCCUCACUCUUACUUAUUUUUGCCAAAUGCAGUGGAAAUGUAUAGACUUUUUUUCAUAUUUAUGUUGGCUGCAGAGCAUAAAUCUGAAUAGGUUCUCCAAAGUAAGCUUUUUCUGCAUGCAUUUGCUCCCAAUGAUGAUAGGUAUUAUGAAUUGCUUUAUAGUAAUCAUUAUCCUUUUCCAUAUGUUUUACGGUUAGUCUGUGCUAUAAACUUGUUUGAUUU